UACGUAGGUGGCAAGCGUUGUCCGGAUUUACUGGGCGUAAAGAGCGCGCAGGCGGUCGUGCAAGUCGCGUGUGAAAGCCCCCGGCUCAACUGGGGAGGGUCACGCGAUACUGAUCGACUUGAAGGCAGGAGAGGGAAGUGGAAUUCCCGGUGUAGUGGUGAAAUGCGUAGAUAUCGGGAGGAACACCAGUGGCGAAGGCGACUUCCUGGCCUGUUCUUGACGCUGAGGCGCGAAAGCUAGGGGAGCAAACGGG
rnacentral:rRNA from 1 species